rnacentral:lncRNA from 1 species
GGAGGAGAAAGAGAGAAUCUUGAGCAGACUCCCUGCUAAGCCGAGGGCCUGCCACUGAGCUCAAUCCCAGGACCCCAAAGUCAUGACCCUAUCUUAACCUGAAUCCAACACUCAGCCAACUGAGCUACCCAGGUGCCCCUAGAACUGAAUUUUCAAACUUAGUUAUCUCCUGGAUUUCUUUUUUGUAAAUAGCCUCAGCAUGUAUAUCCAUAAUUAUUGUUUCAACCUAUUGUUCUGUAAACUGCAAGAAACCACAAUCACAAAGUUCAUUAUUCACUUUUCACAUACCUUCCACUUGCACAGCUUUGUAGUAUAGUACUCAGUUCCCUAUUUGUUAUCAUCCCAGAACUAUAUAGGAGCUCUGUGAUGGAGAUGGAUGGAACAAUUAGCAUCACCAUUGCUUUCAAGAGGGGAAACUGAAAGUCUAAGACAAAAAUGGGAACCCAAGAUCAUCAACUGGCCUUCAUACUCAGUCUUCUGCCUCCAGAGUCAGCCCAGAGAUGUCAUGAAUAAGACCUGUCAGACAUUGGAGCCUACAUCCACUCUUCUCUGGUGCAGUGGGCAGGACCUUAAUCUCAAAUACAGUAAGCUUCAGUAACCUCUGUAUGAAAGCCCUGGCAUAUACAGACUGUCCAUAACAGAAUCAGCCUAAACACCAUAUGCUACAUUGAAAAUACCCUACAGAAAAUC